rnacentral:lncRNA from 1 species
UUUUUUCUCAAACAUUGAUUUGAGCAGUAUUUUUUAUUUUUUGCCCAUUACAAUAUAAAUUUUAGCCCAUGUUGACAGGAGCAUGGUCCUGGUGAUCAUUCACUAUUCUUCUUGCGUUUCUUUACUUAAAAACAUAUGGUUGGACCAUGAUUAAGAAUAUGAAUAGCAUGUUUUUUAUUAUAACUUAUAUUAACUUCUAUGGACAUGGUACUGGACUAGAUUGAAUAUUGUGAAUGAAUUUCUUCUAAACCACCUCAAACUAGUGCUAGUUGAUGAGUAUUAACUUGAAACAAAAAAAUAAAGUCAAAUUUCUCAAGGGUAUAGUCUCAAUUCCAAUAAAAUGCAAUUGGCAAAGACUAGUGCUAGUUGAUGAGUAUUAACUUGAAACAAAAAAAUAAAGUCAAAUUUCUCAAGGGUAUAAUCUCAAUUCCAAUAAAAUGCAAUCGGCAAAGAAGGACUUGAAGAGAUUCCCCUACAGGCAAAGAAACUUAAUUAUACUUCUGAUCCUUUUUUUCUUUUGAAAAAAAACUGAUUUUCCUCUUUUCUGCAGGAAAGAAUCAGGACAUUGACAUUGCCGGAAGC